GACGUAGGGGGCGAGCGUUGUCCGGAUUUAUUGGGCGUAAAGCGCGCGUAGGCGGCCGCGCAAGUCGGAUGUGAAAGCCCGGGGCUCAACCCCGGGUCGGCCGUGCGGACUGCGGGGCUGGAGCACUGUAGGGGCGGGUGGAAUUCCGGGUGUAGCGGUGGAAUGCGUAGAGAUCCGGAAGAACACCGGUGGCGAAGGCGGCCCGCUGGGCAGUAGCUGACACUGAGGCGCGACAGCGUGGGGAGCAAACAGG
rnacentral:rRNA from 1 species